GUGCAGUUUUGUGCGUUUAUAAAAAUUGGAAAUACGAUAGGCGAAUUUACCUUUGUUUGCGCGGAGUCCUGUCUGUCCUGACGCUUUAAAUUUGCUUUUGUUGGCAUUUUUGCCAGUUACUAUUUGUGAAAUUUCAAAAGAAUUAAAAUUCUUUGCAAUUCUUUGAUAGUUUACUGUAGCUAUCCAUAUUUUUUUUGUUUUUUAUUUAUGUGCAAAAAAUUGCU